CAGCAGCCGCGGGAAUACGAAGGGGGCUAGCGUUGUUCGGAAUUACUGGGCGUAAAGCGCACGUAGGCGGAUAUUUAAGUCAGGGGUGAAAUCCCGCAGCUCAACUGCGGAACUGCCUUUGAUACUGGGUAUCUUGAGUAUGGAAGAGGUUAGUGGAAUUGCGAGUGUAGAGGUGAAAUUCGUAGAUAUUCGCAGGAACACCAGUGGCGAAGGCGGCUAACUGGUCCAUAACUGACGCUGAGGUGCGAAAGCGUGGGGAGCAAACAGGAUUAGAUACCCCGUAGUCCCUGUCUCUUAUACA
rnacentral:rRNA from 1 species